UUGGCAGUCAGGUGUCAGCCGCCGCGGUAACACCGGCGGCCCGAGUGGUGAUCGUGAUUAUUGGGUCUAAAGGGUCCGUAGCCGGUUUGGUCAGUCCUCCGGGAAAUCUGAUAGCUCAACUAUUAGGCUUUCGGGGGAUACUGCCAGACUUGGAACCGGGAGAGGUAAGAGGUACUACAGGGGUAGGAGUGAAAUCUUGUAAUCCCUGUGGGACCACCUGUGGCGAAGGCGUCUUACCAGAACGGGUUCGACGGUGAGGGACGAAAGCUGGGGGCACGAACCGGAUUAGAUACCCGGGUAGUCCCAGCCGUAAACGAUGCUCGCUAGGUGUCAGGCAUGGCGCGGCCGUGUCUGGUGCCGCAGGGAAGCCGUGAAGCGAGCCACCUGGGAAGUACGGCCGCAAGGCUGAAACUUAAAGGAAUUGGCGGGGGAGCACAACAACGGGUGGAGCCCUGCGGUUUAAUUGGACUCAACGCCGGACAACUCACCGGGGGCGACAGCAAUAUGUAGGCCAAGCUGAAGACUUUGCCUGAAUCGCUGAGAGGUGGUGCAUGG
rnacentral:rRNA from 1 species